CAGAGAUGUGCUGAUCACAUUCAAAAAUGCUACGAAUCUGGGACAACGAGUCUGAUGAAUGAGGAAAUAUUUUUGGCGGAGCGUGACAAGAUGAAUCGUACAUGGAUCAGACCACAUCUCCAAAAACCAGAAGGACUAGAAAUAGAAGAUGUGAAUUUAUAACAGCAUGUGUGGAAAAGACAGAACUCAGCUGACCUUGCGCUCACUGUGCUGUAACUCUCCAUGUCCUGCCAAUCUUUCCAGUGAUGUUGACCAUUGACGAACUCUGGGGAACUUCUACAGAUCUGAUUAAAUGAACUGCCACCACCUCCCCAGGGCCUGCAAUACCAUCUGGAGUGGGGAGAGACAGAAGCUUUCACAGUACCAGCUUUCAGUCGAUGGGCGGCCCCCGGGCCUGCCUCAGUGGAUCUGAAAAGGUCAGAGGUCGUGGUCAUGGGGUCAUUGGUGCGGGCCGCUAACUGAGGGUUUGACAUUUGUCGUGCGGUCAUGUUUUUCCUGCCACUGGGUGUGUACACAUCUCCAACCUGACUCCACACAGGGAGUCCACUCCAGGGGAAGUUGUGUGGGGUGUAGGAAAACUUCCAGAACCCAAGGGGCCUGGUCAUGAAGGCUCUCCUGGUAAGCGUGAAUGGCGGCAUAAGGGGGCCAGGGUUAGGGUGAGGAGAGUGGGGCGCUCACCUAGAGCACGGAAUUGGAGGAAAUGUCGCAAGUGCAGAAGUCACCACAAACACUAUUUUACUGCAGUGUUUAAAAGGUCGAAAUUAAUGCAACAAAUUCCAGGCGAGCAAAAUAUCAACAUUUUAAAUAAAGUCAAGAUAACCCUUCAUCGAUGCAGCCCUGCCCCACACGCCUGCCCCUAACUCCCCACCGGCCCUUGCAGGGUGGGCUGCCUGAUUCACUGCCCUGCGGUAAGAAGUCGGUGGUUCUUGUCAAAGACUCCUCUCCAGGGCAGCCCAGCAGUGGAGACAGUUGAAGCCAGCUCCCUUCCGUGGACUUGAGUGGGUGAGUAUUUGGGACAAACGUGAAUUUUAAUGUGUUCAUGUUCUGGAAAGCACGGCCCCCCACUUUUGUCCUUUGAGAUGAUAUAACGUGUCACCCACUCAUUUCUGGUCAGGUAGCCCAAAGCGGAGGAAGGUCUGUCUUGCUUAAGAAUUGAAGUAAAGGGAGUCAGUUUGUUCUGUGUUUGUUUGUUUGUUUCCCAGAUGCUCCAGGUAUUUCAAACCUCUGGUUGGGCAGCAGACUUCCCAUGACCUUCCUGGCUGAUAGGGAAAUGGGCUGUAAACUCACCUGUUAACAGGGCCCUCUAUGUCCUGACCGCCCCCCCCCCCCACCUCCCAGCACUCUUAGGAAGCUACCCCACCCGUCUGUCUGUUCCUGGAACGCGCCUCACUUUCACGACUGAGAGCACCUUUGUCCCUGCAGUACCCCCACCUGGGAGGCUAACUCUUUCUCCGGCUCAUGGCUCAUCUUAAAAUGUCACCUCCUCAGAGCUGGCUUCCAGGAACACCCCAGCAAUAAAGGUCCCUCUGAUGAUUCCUGCAUGCAGUGCCGUGUUGAUUUCCUCAGU